ACUUUUUUUUUUUUUUUGGUAUAACCCACAGAUAUCCGCAUGUGUUUUGCAAUUUACGACUAAUCUUGUUUGAGUCACAUCAGACCUCCUUUGCAGGGAAAGUUCUCCUAAUAUUGUUUUUUUUCCAUUCCCAUGUUUUUUUGAAUCCAAGACCUCAUGUUCAAAAGAUGCAAGCCUCUUCACUUGCACCGACAUCCGUUGGUGUUGGGUGAUUACUUAGUCUAUUAGAUUCCGUUGACAAUUCUUCGACAGAAUUGAGGGUUGAAGUUGUAGAAAAGCUAUCUGGCAUUUUGUCUUGGUGGUCAUCUUAAAUAUGCGUUCAAAAGCUGUACGCGCUGGCCAAAAUAGAUAUGGAGAGAGCUGCUUUGUGGUCAUUAGUCCAUCUGGGGAUCUUGAGAGUGCAUGGAGUAAUUGUCGCUUCCGUUUAGAUUAACUAUUUUUCGGGGCAUUUUUGAAAAAUUUUAUUGUAGCAGAGUUUUCAUAGUAUAUUUUAAAAAAUAUUUUGAAAUAUUUAAGAGUAGAAGAGUUUUUAGAAUAUAUUUUGAAAUAUUUAAGAGUAGAAGAGUUUUUAGAAUAUAUUUUAGAAUUUUUUUAAACAAAAAAAAUUUUUUGACUACUUUUUAAAAAUUUUAAUAAUAGUAUUUGGAAAGCUAGUUUUUGAGAAACUCUUAAAUCCAAUUUGAGAGUGACUGUUUUUUCUUGGGCUGAGACUCGUAGUGUUCUUUUGACCAAUUGUCAGCUAGGAGUAGUGGCUUGGUUUUCAACUGGUGGUAGAGCCGCUGGCUCAGCCACAGCAGGUACGCAUGCCAAAACAUUGUAUCUAGUCAGAUUUUCUGUCCUUGAAGGAAUAGUAGAUCCUGAUUUGGAAGUAGACAGUUUCAUCUCUCAAUCUUCAUUUAGGAGCUGGAUAUGAGGCCCUUCAUUCUGCAAAGGGAGAUAAUGGAGGAUAGCAUCGAUGAGUUUUUGUUGGACUGCACGAAGCAAAGAAGAAUUCUUGAUAAAAACAAGAUAACCUGGAGCGCCAUAUCCGCAACGUCUUCACUUGUAAUUCCAAUGAGCAUCUCAGGUAAGGCUCCAAACAAAAGCAGAUGUAAAGGGAAAAUCACAAAGAAGAUCGAAGCUUGUUUAUCCGAGACCCUCACUCAAAUAUACUGUAUAUAGAUCUCUUGUCGUCUUGAGAUAUACGAUCACUAGCCUAAAGAAAAUAGAUAAAUCAACAUCACGACCUUUUCUGUGCUGAAAAAAUUGCUGUUUUCUGUUAAAAAUACAUCACGAACAAAUCUAAUAGAUACAAUUGGUCGGAACCACCCCAGGCAAUCCCAUGUGCUAUUUCAUUAUACAGAAACCAAUUAAUGAAGCCUCGCUACUUUAGAAGGGGAAAAAAAUAUAAGGAAAAGUGAGAAAUAAGAAAGCCCCCAACCCGGAAGGAGAAAACCUCACUCAAAGAACUACAUGGUUGAAAAAGAAUCUCAAAACUUCGAUCUCCAAGAAGCCCAACACCAACAAUGCUAAGCCGAUCAGAUACAAUGGUACAGCCCUGAAUCCCGCCAGCCCUUGCACUGUAUUGUUCGAAACCCACCUCAAUUUCCGGGGAUGCUUGGGCAGGCUGUCUGUAUAAUCAAUUUUACAAUAAUCGUCAUUGACAAAUUUUCAAUGAUGAAAUAAGGAACUCAAAACAAGCCAGCAAGCAAAGCCCCGGAUCAGAUGUUGCCGAAGGUGAGGGUGGAAUUGUUGGCUGAGGUUGUGGAGGUACUGGUGCAGGCGGUCGGGCAACUAGAGGGAUGCUGACUAAUUGUUCUUUAAUAAAUUCCUUCAACCUGUACAUCAUCCAGAAGAGCAUGUUUCGGGUUCAAAUUCAAGCUUAUAUCAUACAAUUGAAAGGUAAAGACUUCUGAUAGAACUCAAAGCAAAACACGUACUCAAAAGUUAGAGUAGGAUCGCCUGAGGCAACAGUCAUCCGUAGUUGAGUUCUAUCUGCUGAUCCGUUUCUACUCUAAGCUGCAUAACCAACAGACCAUCACAUCAGAAUGAUAGACAUGUUUUCAUAGUAGCAAAAGAGAAAUAAAUCACAAGCAACCUUUACUAAAUAAAAUGGGACGAAAGUCUACGGUACUAAUAAAAUAAACAAAGAGGAAAAAAAUAAUGAAGUACAUAUUCUUGGAAUAGUUUAAUCACGUAUAUUAGCAUUACGUGAGAAAACAAAGAACCAAACCCACUCAAGAACCCGGAUGACAGUAAAAUGGACAGUAAAGUGGCAGCCAUUCUUAGAAAUAAAGCCACAACUGGCUUACCAAACACAACAUAGCUCGUGUACUCUCUGAAUAGAAAGUUGUGCUGGCAACCAAAUUGUUUGGGUUUGGAUCCUGCAAAGAAAAUAAGAGGUUAAUGCUAUGAGCAUUUAUAUGCAGUUAGGAAUGAUUCAAAUGUAAAGAACACAAACAGGAUAAAGUGAAAAACUUACAAGCCCUGGACAAACCAUCAACCUGUAACUGUUGAACAAAUUGGCCAUUUCUAGAAGUGGCAUUGGUCUUACUCCUCUAACCUGGUCAAAUGGAAUAGGAUAGUCAAGUUAUACAAGUAGAUCACUAUUGCUGAAUAUAUAGUCAAACUAAAAAAUAAAGCGAAAAAUACCACUUCUUGAAGCUUUAGAGGAGGUCCAGAAAGUGAUCUCCACUGGGGGAAAAACUCUUCACCGGACACUUGUAUAGGCUGAAGAAACUUAUUCAAGACAGCAGGAAGGCGAAGUUUUACAUUGACCUGUUAAGUGAUCAGGGAAAGAUUAUUCAGAAUUAUACCACAAGUAUUAUGAGAAAAUAAAAAGAAUUCCAAACCAAAACCCAAUAAAAAAAAUAUAAUAAAUGACCCUAGAAAUUUCAUACUCAAAAUCAGUUCGUUUAAAUGCCAAAAGCUUUAUUAUGGGGUUACAAUACCACAUGACUCGAAAACUUGUAGGAAAAAUCCAGAACAGCCACAUCCCUACUUGGCCGGAGAUUAACAACCUCAAGUGGGCAUUGCACCUAAACAACAAAACCAGAUGCUUUUAAUGGAUGAACAAUCUUAAAAGAAAUGCACACAGAGAAGAAAAUGGAAAAUAAACCUGCAGUUAACCAACCUGUGCUCUUGGGGUAUAGUCUCUGGUACAAGUGAGAGUUCCAAUUUUAAGUGAGCUGGGGCAAUAUUAAAGCUUGAACUGAAACAAGUGGUGAUGUAUUCUUAUUUCCAAGGAAAAGCACUAAUCGCCCAUGUGGGGCUCUCCAUUCUGCUUUAAUGCCAAUCUGAAAUUACUCACCCAAGAAAUCAGUUGUCUACAGAGAAGGCUUAAAGGAGCUUGAGCAGGCCCAUCCAAACUGCAAAACUGAGAGCAUACCUGAAUAUAAGGAUCCUCAUACAGCACGCCACUGUCCUUUAGGCACAAAGCCUGAAACCUUUCGGCAAUAUUUCCAAUUGGCUGCAAGCAAUGAUCAGAGAGGAAACUCAAAAUCAUAAACACCACAAGAAAUGACAUAAUCAUCAUAAACACCAAAGGAAGUCCUAUGCCAUUUGCAAAAACUAAAUGUACAAAAAACUCAUCAAAGUCAUUUUCCUUGACAUGGAAUCUGUAUGGAGAAAUACGCUUGCGUGUUACAGAAGAAAACAGUAGCUAAAAUUAAAAUAAGAACAAACUCAUUCACGCAAAUUACACCCUAGGGAAAAAUCCAGCUAAAACUUCUUAAUGUACUGCCAAUUCUUAAAUUUUUGCAACCGUAAAAUCUAGAAAAUGUUGUCUCCACUACUGGACAGUGCUAAUAUUAGCCUACAACUUGCACAAGAAAGCACCUGGACAGUGUUCAUCUGGCCUUCAACAGGAGCAAUAGCCAACGCCUCCCCUGCAUUUGCGCACCAGCCAAACCAGAGCCUGAAUAUGCUCAGCUUCAGCAGUAGCACUAGGAGGCCUUCAAUAGCCAUUGGACCCAGGAGAUCUUCAAAGGCGGAUCCACAACAGUGAGUGUGCCAUUUGCUUCAGUCACAGCUGGAUCUGGAGAUUCACCAUCCUGAAAAUUUAUACAUCAAAUUAUAAUCUGAUGUGACAGUGAAGAAGUAGAGCGUCCAUAUCAACAAUUGGCUCACUAAAAUCCAGGGAAGGUCAUCUCACCACAUUACUCAUGGCAGGCACCUUUACAAGACUGAUCUGGCUCACAGUUGAAGGUCCAUUAGCAGGGUGCUGGUCGGUCACCACCAAAGCAUUAGAGUUCUGCUGCUGAGCACGCAACUUUAUUGCACUUUGCUCAGCAGUAUCAGCCUCAGAAUUUUCAGCUUUCUUAAUCAACGCAGACUGCAUAACAAAAAAACAUCACCACAAUUUUUAUCAAUCAUGGAUCAGAAUAAUACAAUAAUCAACUUUAAAAUGAAAAUCAAGUCAAAGAGUGCUUCUUCCACAAUGCUGAUUGCUGUAAUUGAUGAAACAGACAAUUGGAGAAUAAAUGAGAACUCAUAUGCACACCUGUCGCUCAGGGAACUUUGGCAUUUCAGCUAAUAUAUCCAUCAAAGCUGCACCUUUCCUACUCAGUUCAAUAUACUCAACAGCCCGCUGUUGUAGUUCAACAUCAAUACAACUUCCAUACCUGAAAGUAUGUUAAAAUGUGCCAGUGACAUUGAAGAAAUUAAGUCAUUCACUGGAUGAAUUUCAAAUUAAAACGUGAAAUUAUCUCACUUGUUGAAUAUUGCCCAAUUUGAGACUGUAGCUCCGGGUCAGGUGGUUGGGUGUGCAUCAAAAUCUUUGCAUAUGAUGAAAGAAGAAUAGAAACUGUUGGAGUCCUGAACAAACAUAUUGAAAUGAGGGAGGGAUAGCAAUGAAUAAAUACUGAGAAUGAAAGACAACAAAGCCCAAAAUCCUUACGAAACAGAAGGAAGCUUCUCAUGUAUGACACUGAAAAUUUCUUUUGGAUUACAUCCAGGCCGUCUAGCCAGAAGAUGGCUGUACUCUCCAAGAAUAUAUGCACUUACCUAUUCCAAAAAAAAUUCAGAAUUACAGGAAACUCAGUAUUCAGAAAGGCCAAGUGGAGUCUACUUUAUCAGUUGACUGCAUUAAAAUAAAAAGCACCACAAAAUCAAAUUCUGCUAAUUGAUUUUCCUCCUUGAAGAUCAACAAGUAAUAUGCAGAAUGCUUGGCAUGUCAUUAACAUGAAGCUCUAUAAAAAUGUUCAAAUGGGAAAUUGAUCUAGUAGAGUCUCUGAUAAUAGAAAAUAUCAGCAGGCAUAAUUAGAUAGAGUAAGUGAAACUGAUAGAUAAAAGAACUAUGUUCAUUUACAUCUCUGUUAUGUAUGCAUAAACAAAGUACAUACAAUGUACAUAUAUAUAUGCUUAUUCUCCCCAAAAGACUACCCAUUGCGUUGAUCGACAUGAUUUUGCUAUUUGGAAACCAAGACUAGAAGGCAUUGUAAAUGAUCAUCAUAUUCCUGUUAAUCAAAUUUGAAGGCAAUGGGAACAAACCUUAACCAUAGUUUCAUGAACAGCAGGCUUAUCAAGAUACUCUCUGGCUUUCAGUGCAGCAUAAGGCUGAUAAAGAAUACAAAGACAUAGGUUACUCGUAUGAAGAUUUAAAUUAUAUAAAUCCAGAAAAGAGCUACCCUCGUUACCUGUAAAUCCUCGUUAUUCGUAACGAACUGCACCACACGAAACCAAAUGUCAUCACUGACAAAAUCCCUGCCUUGUCAAUCAACUGAAGGAUGACAUCCACAUACCUACAAGUGAAAAGUGAAAAGCAUUACAUAUGGACUCUAUUACUAGGUUACUGAAUAUUUGUUUAGGUUGGUCUUUGAAUGAAUGGCGGAUCAAAUCCCAUACCGACUUUUUGGACUUGAAAGCCUACAAACUAUAGUACUCGAAGUUCCUGAGUUUCCUACUACUACUUGUUAGAUUCAAAAUUUGUGCAAAUUACAGUACUUGAAGCUCCUAAGAAUACCAAUCCCACCCAGGAAUUUGCAAUUCAAGCAUACACCAAAUCAACCAAGUAGAAUGACUAAGCUUGAUAGCAAAAUAUGUAUUUAUCUUUGGAGACAUUUCCAUACCAUGACAAAUCAGGGGCAAACUUCUCUGAUAGAAUUGCAAUUUUUAGUGACAAUUCUUCACGCAUAGCAAAGUCUGCAGAGCUGAGAUACUGAAAACAGAUAAACAUUAGCACGGGAAAGAACUUCAUUUGCAUUAGUACAAAAGCAACUACAUACGAAUAAUAAUUUAGAAGCUAGACAGGACAUCUGCAGUGCUUGGUCCAGCAUAUAUAUAUAUAUAUAUAUACACACAUACAUAUAGAUAUAUACCUGUAAUAAUUCUUCAACUAUGUCCUUUGCGUUGGAAACAUCACACAUGCCAUAUAGCAAAUCAAGUGCACGCCUUCGGAUGCUGUUGAUAAGAAUAAGAGUCAAUCAUAAGAAAGAUAAAUAACAGAUUUUUGUAUUUAGUUUGUGAGAGACUUGUGGUGUGAUAUAAUUUGUGUUUCAUCAUCACUUGUUUUGUGCCUCAGGUCCGGCCCCAUUAAUUCUAUAUUUUCAUUGGGUACUACUAAACCUUACUUACCCAAAAAAAAAAGAAGAUAAUUAGCGGAUGGCUUAACACUCCAAUGUAUACAUGUUAAAAAAAAACCACACAAACACACACACACAAAAACAAUCUCACAGGAAAAAAAAUAUUGAACUGAAAGACCUUAAUAGUAACCUACUGAUGUUUUAGCAAAAUAAAGAAGCUCCGCAUCCAGUGAAAAUUUCUUAUUUCUUUGAAUUAGUAUCUUAAGUUCUAGGUAACCAACCUUGUAUAUUACACGUGAAAAUAUUUCUUACAUGAUACGACCAUGUAUCUCACUCUACAUGCCUUCAGUUACCUCUUGUGCAGCUGUUAGAAAAGAGAACCACGAGGGAAAUUCCACAGAAGAACACAAAGUACUUCAUCUACCUGAUAUCAGGAUCCUUUAAUGAGGUAAUGAUCUGGGCUUGAUGUCUUUUUAUAAUGUCCUGUACAUCUGUUACCAUUAACAUCCGCGUCAUAUUCUCCUGUGUCACAGAACAAAGAAAGUAACCAGGUCAGUGCCACCAUCUCAAACUUUCUAAUAUGAGAGUGGAUGGGCCACAUCUGCAGGCUCUAAACAUCACUUAUUAGGACAAUGCAAACAACCUAUUUAAGCAGCAGAAGUAUAUAGGACAAUACAAAAACAGCAGGAAGGAAGAAGGGUAGGACAUCAGAGACUUCAGUGCAUAGAAAGCGGAAAGGAACAACUUACCAAGCCAAGAUAUCGAAUAUUUGGCUCACGCACAGCAAUAAAUUUCCCAAGCAGUGCAACACACUGGGACAUCAUCUCUUUUUCAGCAUCAAGAUGCAUGACCUGAAUAAAAGAUGACAAAAUUUGGAAAAAUACCACUAAGUAUGUGCAUAGAUGAAAUAGUUUGAAACGAACCACUACUUCAAAGCAAGUUGCAUCAUGGUUUUCUAGAGCAACCUUAACACAUUUAAGAAAGCAAUGGCUAUAACUGAGAUACAAUUAAACAGCAUAUUUGCAAUGAUAUAUCAAGUUCGGAAUUCUGCCUAAAAGUCUCUUGAAUGCACAACUACCAAGUCUAUUCAUUCUAGCCAGGAAACAUAAAGAGCUAAUAAGAAUAAGAUUCUUUUUUUUAUGAGACAUUUCAAGAACAAAAUUCCACAGCAGUAUAGCUCAAAACCAAAAUGUUCAUACUUGUUUUUUUACUCAUUUGAUACUAAAUCCAAAUUCAGAAAAUCAAUUACUUCUCAAAUUUUGUACUUGCAGUAGGAAAGGAAAUUUAACUGACACUAUUACCUUUCCACUCAUAUUGCUCAAUCUCAAACAUAUCUCAAGCAGUAAUUAUAAUUCUUCCAAAAGAAACUAUGGAAAUAAUGCAAAUCAAUCGGCCUCUUGGCUCAAAUUUACUGUUGAAAAAUCUACCCAUCAAAAGAAUCCUAAAACAAAUGAUCACUAACUACAGUACAACACACUCAAUGGUAACUUACAAGAGCAAGGGCUUCAAAAAGCACAGCAUGGGAUGCAUUAUUGUUGACAUUUUUCACUACAUCAGUUCCCAUGAGUAUCCGUUGUAAAACCUAAUUAACCAAGAUAAAUCAAACAUCAUAUCCAAUAACAAGUAAUACACUGGGAUAUAAGAUUCAGUGAAGAAACCAUCAAAAACUUCAUUUGUAAAGGAAGAACACCUCAAAUAAUGAUCUUCUAGUGUUUGGAUCUUCAACAGUAGGAAAAUACUGAAGAGCCCUCAUUGUCUUAACCUGGAUCAUGUAAUAGUGAUUAUUAAACAUAACUAACAAUUUAAAACGUCACUUAAAGAAAUAUAUUGCAUGAUACUAAUUGAUGAAAAAAAUUGAAUUGAUAUAAUCACCCACUUUUUUCCUUUUAGAAAUCCAUUCACACCACAAAAUUAUGCAAGAUGCAAUGGCAACUAAACUACAUCAAAGAAUACCCUUCUACAUUCUAUAACUGCUUCUCUCUAAGUGCGUACCCGUUCAUCCUGUAAAUCAAUCUCGUUCAACCUAAGAACUUACAGAUAAUUUAAGAUUUAAGAUCAUUCUAAAAAAGUCCUAAAUCAUAAUUUUUGUUGCUAAUUGUAAGAGCAAUUUCUGUAAACGUGUCUUGAUUUAUGAAGGCUCACCAUAGAAACCUGCAAAAAGUAUUAUGCACAGACAAGUUUCUUGGUACUUACUGACACACACCAGAAUAUGUUGAAAUACAAAAGAAGAAAGCCCAUCAAAGAAAAUUUUCUGCGCUAUACCUACCAAAGGAUUUUCUCCUGCGAGUAACAUGAUUUCCCUUGUAUGCUCAAUUCAACUCCAAUAAUGUGAUUUUAAUAAAUGCACCAAGAUUAACCCCUCAAAUCAAUUAGUUCCAGCUUUGAAAUUAUAAUCCAUGCACUUUUGGGAUUCACAAAUUCGUAGUCCUCUAAAAUCUAGAAUUAUGCUCCACCUGAAUUGUCCAAAUUAAAAAAGGAUCCAAUACAAGUGAAUUUACAUCUUUACAGUUUAAGAUGGAGUUCUCUGUUGAGAAUUAUGCUCAAACCAAAAUCUUGGACUCAAGAAACAAUAAAUGCAAGUUAACCAUUCAACAUGAGUUAUUUACAGUAUUGCAGCCCUAACAACUAACUCGGAGUUUAACAGAAAAGGCAUACAAACCUGAAGCCAGGGAGAUGGAAUACCAUAGUAAGUGUAUUCUUGUGGAAUAUCUUGGUUCCUUGCCAGCCUUUCCAAAAUUUUAACACACUUUGGCAGACAACUCCAGUAUGUGUCAUGGUUAUGCGACACUAAGGCAACUAAAAGGCUCAUUGAAGAUGUUAAGACACCCAAAUCACGUUCAUCUAACAGUUGUGCCAUUCGAUCUGACCUGAUAAUAACAACAAAUAGCUUAUCAAAUUUGCAAUGGUACAAUUAUCCAUCAAAUAUGUCUACAAUUUUAUACUAAUUACCAGCCAUCCACAUUCACAACAUCAGGAUUUUUUCUAAACAGGCGUAGGAGACAUAAAGCAGCCUUCUUCCUCACAAGGGGCCUGCAACUACUGGAUAGCUGAAGGGAAAGAAACUGUCAACAAAAAUAUUCAACUCAUUAGUACUCAAACAAAAGUCAAGAAACUGUCUGCUUACAAGUAAUUUUUGAACAUCAGGUGCAAGUGAUUCAGCAAACUCCCUCCCACCAAUAUUUCCGACCUGUACAAGGCAACAAAUAAAGACAUAACAAAAAUAAAACGAAAAAAGAAUAAAAGAAAUUUGCUAAUUAUCUAGAAAGGUCUAUAACCAUACCAGAGUCAGUGCUAGGCACUGGAAAGUCUCAUUUCUACCGAUGAUAUCAUUCCGGACUGUAUUAAUAGCUAAUCUCAAAAAGUCGUGAUUCUCAUUAGCAAACACGAUGUCACUAUGUACCCAACCUGCAGCCAGAUCGAGUCAGUUGAACAUUCCCACAAUAACAUCAUUGUCCCAAAGCAGAACAAAUGUUUAGAAAAGUUCAUGAAUGUAAGCAGUAAAUAAAUCCUAUGAAGGAUACCCUAAAGCAUCUAUUUAACAAAUUAGGGAAUUUUUCUACAUUUCCAGGCAAGAGCUAAAUUCAAAAAGACAUCAACAUCCCUAUUGCACGCAUAUUACAGAAUCAACUUUGAACAUUCAAACAAAUUCGCUGACUAUUUCCAGAUUUUAUAAUGGACCUGUUUUUGUGCUGCUGCUUUGACCUCACAAUGUGCCAGAAAGCUUACUAAGCAAAGUCACAAGCAACAUCCGCUCAGCAUUUGAUAAUUUUACUGGUUCAAUGGGUGUAGCAAACGACUGUCCAUAAAUUGGCACAAGGCAUCCAAGAACAAAUCCAAAAAUCAAAAGUUCUUAAUCCUCCAACUGAUUGUUGCAUUCAAUUGGCAAUAAAGUUUAAAUCAUUUCAAAACCAAUAGUUAUAGUUUGAUUCCAUCAAUUAUUACAAGUACUGCAUAAGGAUGGAAAAAGCACAUCUAUAUAACAAAUGAAAAAAAAUGUAAAGUGCUGCAGCAAAUUCAAAACUUUUUAGAUGCAUGCUUAACAUGAGAUAAUCGUCAUGAGUUGACAGGAUCCAGUUUUUAAUGAAUGUCAUCUAUCUCACACAGAAUCUAUUUUAGUGCAUGUAAGCAACAGAAAUAUAGCAUAGCAAAAUAAUUAUCACACAUGCAAUAAGAACUAUCCAGCACAUGUAUUGUAGUGAACGACUAGCUUAUUUAAGUUGAUUGCAAUCAAACGUAGUUGGGUUCUGAGCAAUUGAUUGAAACCUUAUUGCCAAAAGUAACAAUACUAGCAUUACAAGACAAGAUCAUUGCAUUGUGUUAUCAAAAACUGAGGUCAUCAGGUACCUGCUUUUCAGGAUACUUGGGAGCAGAUAUUAAAGAAACGGCUUCCAUGUGACCAAAGUCCACAUCAUAACCAAGCAUGUAUAUGUAAAGCAUUUUCCAGACGUAUUUCUUCUUCUCAUAAGGAGUCAAACCCUGUAGUGAACAAAACAUAUGUAAAAAAACUCAUACAAUACCAAAAUCAGACUCAUCUCUAAGAUACAGUUGAAAAUUUUGAUUGCACAGAAUAUAACAAAAUUUGCAAGCAAUAUGAAUGCCAAAAUGACAAGCAGAGCAAUAUGCUGAAAAAUAUUGCUGACAAAAAAAUUUCUGAAAAAAAUAUUAAACUUGACCAGCCCCAAGGGAAGCUACAAACUCCAAAUUUAGCAAAUAAAAACUGGCCGUAAGAGACACCCCGAAAAUUGUAAGUAAGAAAAAAAAAUUGCAGACAAUUUCGAUUUCUGCAAUAACACCCUAAGGAAGUCCAUUACUCAGAGCUCUUGUCAUAACUGAACAGUUUGUUCAACUUCAUAUAUCUAAGGAUUGGUUAAAGAAUUUGUAACGACUUUGGGUCCACAUACUACUCACAACUUGGUUUACGCAAUUGAAAUUUCUAAUUCUGCAACAAAUGAAGGAUCAAGAUCAAACAAAUAACCAGGAGAUCACAUCAGUAGUUUGGGCUACAAAAGUUGUUGGCAUAGGGCACUGAUUUGUUACAGUUUGCACCAGAAUGGCCCCCUAUGGUCUCGCAACGUGGUGAAUUGGGACAUUGUUAGACAAUGAAGUAACUUCACAGCAUGUUCAACCAAGGACAGGAGAUGAUUGCAAGACAUGAAGGUUCAUGAGAAGAAAUACAUAAGGCUGAGUUCUGAUAACUUUACCUAAGCAUUGCUGCUGAUGGACAGUGAUUAGGCUACAAAACUUUGUUUAAGUAGCUCAGGCCAUGGUAAUUGCAACUGUAAUUUUGAAAAAUCAAUUUUCAAAGACAUCACCUUCCCAAGAUCCCCACCAAAAAACAAAAAUCAGUGAGCUUCAUGUAGCUCCCAGUGAUUGCGCUGAUGAUGGCUAUAUGCAUUAGCCUCAGGAUCAGAGUAUGGCCACAAUAAGUGACAGGCUCAAGUAGAUAAGUAAAGCAGGAAAAGAGAAAAAAUAAAAAUAACAUAGGUCAGCAAAAUGAUACCGCACACAACAAGAACGUUUUGAUAAAUUAAUCUUCAUUUUAAGAUUGAAACAAAGAAGGACUACAGUUUCCUUCUGCCUUUGCAUAAAAUAUUCUAAAAUUGAAGAGGAGGUCUUGGUUAGUGAGCAUUUGAAACAAGGAAACUUCCACAAUCCCAAAUAAAAGCCUACUUGGCUUUUAGCCUGAAACGAAUCUCACCAUGAUUACUAGGGAAAUCCUUGGACAACAACGCCAGUCACCUCAGAGUCAAUGACGCACAAACAUCACUUGCCAUAUCUCUCAUAUUUUUGAAAAUGUUACUAUAUACCUGCUUCCUGAAUAUCAAAUCUGUCGUGUACAGUCUUCUAACCCUUAUCCACUUAAAACUUGUCUCUUUCACUACUUAGUUGAGCAUUAACAAACUCCAUGGAUUACCUUUUUCCCUUGCUAUAGGCCACCACCCAGAAAAGGAACAACAACAAAGAGGCUGGUGCAAUUUAUGUAUGAAUGCUUAAGUCUUCUUAACGAUUCUACAUAUAUAGCAACAAGUCAUGAAGUUCAAGGCUUAAUCAUAACUUAACUGAACAUACUAGCGAAUUAUUCUAAACCACAAAUCCAGGAAGGUAUGGUGGGACCCCCAGCUCCUACCAGUUCACACAGAUCAUACCAUGUCUUUGCCAUGGAUUGAAUGUGUUAUAAGCUGUGCAAGUAGUGCAGUACUUUCCCGAUUAUACUGAAUUUGGAGAAAUAGCCGUGCAUGAUCUAACAACGUCCAUCAAAUAACAUCGAAGAAAUCACAACUUUCAUCCAAGUAAUUUUCAGUGCUGAAAGUACAAGAAGAAAAUGAAGGUUUAGCGAAAAAGAAAAAAAAGCAGCCACAAAUGCCAAUAUUUCAACAUUACUCGUCUACACCCCUUCCGAAUUAUCAGCAUUCACUACCAACAAAAUGCUAGCUCAUUUUCAUUUCUUAACACAUUUUUUCUUCUUUUGUCCAACUAACCCUUUCCAAACAUAAAUUCCAUCUAAGAUUAUCAACUCAAAAUUUCUGAACUAGAAAGGCCUCUACUAAUCAAAUUGCCAAUGACAGAAUUCAAAAAGAAAGUAAGCAUCCAAAACGAGCCAAAAUUACAAAACCAUAAAACACUCCAAACACAUUUCGACUAAGCCUUAAAAAGUGAAUUCGGACUUCAAAUUCCACAAAUUUUAAACUAAGCCAACACAUUCAAAGCCCUCUUUAUUCGAUAAAAACCUAAUUUACACAAAUGCACCACUUAAACACAAAAAAACCUAAACACAACUCCACAAAAAUACAGUCCCCUCAGCUCAACAGCUCAUAUCGAAUUAAAAAAAGCUUUUAAAAAAAUGAUUACAAGAAAGAAAAAUAAAUGAAGUACCUUUUCAUUUUUGAAGCGAGUACGGAUAUUGCCGAGCUCUUUAUCGACGCGGAGGCGUUCUUGUUCUUUGUUCUGGCAAUUGCGGACGUCGCUGAUGAACACCGACAGCCCUCUCAUGCCAGACAACGCCAUCUCCAAGCGGUCCGAUCACAACUCCGGUCCAGAUCCAACUCAAAACGCUUGGUCCGGUUACAAUUGAAAGAUCUUAAUCCUCUGCUUUGGUUUCUUCAAAAUGAAUGCAUCUAAUCAAAAUUCCAGGUGGAAUUCACCGAGUAAAAAUCAAAAUGCUGAGAGUGAAAAAUAAUGUUUAGGGUUUGAAUUUACAAAUAGAGAGAGAACAGUGGGUGUGUGGAGGCGUGAUCUAGAGAGAGACAGAGGUGGACUGAGGAGAAAAUUUGGAAAGAGCCGUCGGGGCCCGAUAGAUAGGCUGAUGAGGAAGAAAGACGACUUUUUUUUUCUUUUUUUUAGUAUACUACAAUUUUUUACAGCAGAUGACGCCAUCAUUUCGCUUUUUUUUAUUUUUUUUAUUUAUUGACUCCGCUAUAAUAAUUAGCAUUAACAUUUAAAACUCGAUUUUUAUUUUUCUUUUUGGGUUUGGUUUUUAGUUCCCAAUUUAAAGCUUGUUGACUGGAAAAGAACCAGAAGGAUGUGGAUCCGGGACCCGAAAAGGGAUGGGUUUGUGGUUUGACCGUUCGAAGCACAAAUGCGAAAGGCCUGUUGAAAAUGUCAGAAACUUUCAUCAGUUGUUCUUUUGCCUAUUUUGUGAUUUUCCACCGAAAUUUUUUUUUACAUUUUCUAUGAAUAUAUUUACCGUCACCUUCUUUUCUCACAUAAAUAAAAUCGUUAUAAUACGUUUUUUUAUAAAAAAAUCCUAAAUAUAGCAAUUCAAACACCUAAAUCUCCCUCUUUUUUUUUAUAGUUUUUUGUUGAUGAAUGCUGCCUAUGAACUUCAAGUUUAUCAUUGGUUUUUUAUUUCACAUUUGGUUAAUUGUUUUCAUAAGUUGAAGUGACCGUACGUUUUUUGUUAGUAUUAGGCUGCAAGAAAUGAAGGCAAAAGGCUAUAAAUAUAUCCAAAGCAAAGCAACUAAAAAGGCAUAAAGAGAUAUUUUAAAUGAAAACUUAAUUGUUAUUACUGCAGUUUUAAAUAGUAGCAAAAAUAGCCCGAACAUAUACCAUAUAGUUCUUUCAAACCUAUCUUACCAUUAAUUAGAUUGUAGUAUUGUUUUAUUUUAUCAUACGGUCUGUCUAACAGGAACUUUCUGAGCGCUUGUUAAAAUAUAUUUCAGGUAUUAAAUUUUUAAAAAUGUAAAAUUAAUUAGAAAAAGUGUAUAAAUACAAAAAAAAAAGAUAAUAACUAUUAGUAUGUAUAUGCAUAUAAUAUAUUAGAUAGAAUUUAGACGUAUUAAUGAUUGUUCAAUUGUCAUAUUUGAUCGGUUAAAAUACAAGCAUUUAGAUUCGAAAUCUAAUUAUUUAUCACACAUAGUAGAGUAAUUUAACUCAGACCAAAUGUUCAAAGAUUUUUUUCACAAAUGGAUACUGUGGUAAUGAGGGAACAAAAAAUUCAUGAAAAUCAUAGGAAUGUUGUUAUUCAAGAAAUUCCAGUCUCCUUCCGUCAUUUUACUUGGUUCUUUCCCUUCUGGACAUCACAGAUGUAAGCCUGAUAAUACCCUUGUCGGGCGAAUACUCGACCCUAAACCACCAACUUGAGAGAGAAGGUCCAAAUAAGGCUUAUCUUUGGCGUUUCUAGAAUUGAUUUCCCAACCAUAUUAUGACCUUCUAUGAUGUAAACGGGUUGAACUUUGAACCAUUGUGCUUUUGGGCUCGAAGAAUUUGGCAAAAGUCGGUCCACUUUUUUGACUCUUCAUAGGCUCGUAGCACUCAAUGCUGACUUGUCAAAACAACCCAUUGGAGACAAGAGGAAAUUUCGCUGCAAAUGUUCACACAUAGACUUAGGACGCUAAAAGUUUCAGCAGAGAUCAUUAGGGGUGCCCAGGGUCAGGGAUCAUAAAUUCCAUGUAUGUACGAAUUCACUGUCGCUAAUCACACGUAGCGAUCAACAAAAUUACAUUCCAUACUGUAACCCAGUUGAAUCGGUUAAUCUGUGAGAUAGGAUUUGAGUGUACAUGAUAAUUUAAUCUUCUUCUACGUAUAAAAAACAAAAAAGAAUUAGAUUAACAAAUCAAACAAUACAAUAUUUUUUUUCAAAUCAAUAAGAGUAUUUAAUCUAACAAUUCUAAAAAUCUAUCAACAAAAUAGAAAAUCAAAACACAUUAGAUAAUUUAAACACCGAAUAUUAUAAACAUUUGUUUCCGUUUUCUCUAUUUCUUGAAAGCAAUCGAUAUUAUUUUUUUUAAAAUAAGGAUGACAAGUUACUCCACAACCAAACAUGUAAGUUUUAAACAUUAAAAACAAAAUAAUUAGUAGAGUGAUGGAGUUGAUAGGAUUUACGAGAAAAGAAAAGAAGUUUUGGAACAAAAAAAAAAGGGAGAAGAAGAGUAAAUGAAAUUAGUGGCGACGCAUGUAGAAAGUGAAAAAGGUAAUUGGGAGAUAGAAUUAGAUAGAUAAGUUUAUAAGUUUUGAAAAAUAAAAUAUAUAAUAGUUCUCAUAAUUCAAUUAUUAGUAAAUUAAAUUGACUAAAUAAUUAUGAGUUGGAGUUGAGGUUUGGAUUUGGCUACUAGUUAUCCUAACCCAUCCCACAUAUCCUAGAUAGGGACGGCAACGGGCGGGGUUGGGGCGGGGGAUGCUGCCUACAAACUCCCCCCACCCCGUCCCAGCCUCGCCCCGCCCCGCUUCCCCUGCAUGUGCUUUCGCGGGGUUAAUAAAAAUUUGUUAUAUAAUUUUAUUAUGAUUAAAUUUUAGCAAAUAAUCAAAUACUAAAAUAUCAACACAUCAUCAAAUUAUUAUUCAUUGUAAUUUUAUAAUUGAAACUUAUAAAAACAAUCAAACAAAAAUUAUUUAAAUACAAUCCAACAUGAUGAAAUAAAUAUAACUAAAGUAGUCAAGUUUUCACUUUUGGCACAAAUACAAUCACUAAUUCAUUAUUGUGUGUUUGCUUUUUUUAAGAAAAAAAUGUUAUUGUAUUAAGUGUAAUUAAGAAUUUAGUAUCAAUGUAUUAGUAAAUUUAGUAUAAUCAAUUAAUAAUUUGUAUUAGUACACAUAUAUAAUUAUUAGUAUAAUUAAUAAUAUCAAUUAUAUUAUAUAUACUAAUAGACAUUAUAUAAUACAUAUAACUAAUAAUAUCAUUAUCAUAAGUUUGUAACUAAUUAAAUUAUAUAUUAUAUGUAUAAUUAUAUACAUAUAUUUAUUUUUUUAAAGCGGGUGGCGGGACGGGGGUACACUCCCCCGGUCCCCGCCCCGGUUAGACGCCCCGUUUCUAAGCGGGGAGAAAAAAAUUCCUCCCACCCCCGCCCCAACUUCCUCCCCAUUAGCCCCCCGCGGGACGGGUGCUCGCGGUCACCUGCUCCCAUUGUCAUCCCUAAUCCUAGACAUUUGUGCUACAGACGCAUAUAUGUCCAAAUAAUCAUGAUUUUCAAAAAUUGAGAACCAUAUUCUAAUAUAAUUUUUUAAAUAGAUUCGAGUAACCUAAUUAUUUCAAGAAUUGCAAGUUCAUUACCCUAUUUUUUUAUUUGGAUUAAGUCGAUUUUCUUGAUUAUCUACUUUUUCUUCUAUUCUUUUUGAACACCUGAUGGACUAUAUAUAUAUGCAAUCAAAUUCCUGUCUUUCUACCAUGUUUACUGUACAUGUCUUUCUACCGUCCAGCUGACAUCCUGUUUGUUGUUAAAAAAUCAGAGCCAUUUCUUUCUGAUAAUUGACACAUUUUUAAGUCCAACGGAUAUAUGGCACCAAACAAGCCCCAAGAUACAACAGUGCAUUCUCCAAAAAUGUUCUACUUGUUUUUUGGACUCCCCACUCAAGCUUGAAGCAAGGACUUGCCAAAAACCAAAAUUUACAAUUAACAUUGCAUAGUUUUGAAAUAAAAUAAUUUACUUCACAAAUUCCAAUCACUUUUUUAUCUUCUCAAUUACCUUUUAUCUCACAUACAUCACAUCACUAAAAGUACUACAGUAAUUAUCUCAAAUAAAUCAUUCAAAUAAACUCCUAUCGAAACAAACCCAACAAUUUUUUUGCUCAAGCCAAGGGCAUCAUCAGCUCUCUCUCUUUCCUUUACUAUUUCUUCUUUCUGCUAUUUCCUUCUUUUAUUCAAGCUAGGGAAAACACCACUCUCCUGGCAGCAGGGCGGGGUUGGAGAAGGGCUGGGAAAGCUUAAACCAAAAAAAUCUAACCUAAUGAAUAUUUCAAUCAAUCAAAAAUACAUGGAUGAGAUAUCUGAUGGAUGCUAUUAUUGCACUCCACUCCAUUUUGCCCAAUCUACAAACUGCAUUCCACCAUAGAUGUUGUUAGCAAAUCGCACACCAACUGUGAAGGCCAUUGCAACAGGUGGGACUCGCUUUGCUACAGGCGAUGCUUCGACCAAUCGCUCCAAGCCAUUAAUAAUCUGAUAACGAGUAUUGGAGGAGACUGCUAGGAAAACACCUGGCGACAAAUGAGAAUAAUGAAUAACACCAAAUGAAUGAGAACAAGCAACUCAUGGCAGAAGUUCUCUUAAAAAAUCUUCCAAUUCAAGCCCCAAGCAACGGCUUGUCCAGAAUACUGGUUAACAAGUUAAGACUCUUAGGUUCUUUUUUUCUGAAAGAAGAUUGUUGGAGGCUUGAACUUUAGCCACAUAUCUCAAGGAAUUUAACCAGAAGGAGAACACCAAGGUUCAAGCAUAGGUCUUUCUUUUCAUGUCCGUCAGCAACUUAAAUCAAAGGCACAUGAGAUGGCAGAAAUAAGAAAUCCAUCAGAUUGUUAUCAAACAUGUGCUUCAAUGACACAGGCAGAAGGAAGGAAAAAUGACUAGCACCAGGGAAACGAAGAACAAUGUACCCAAUCAAGUUAUUAAAUUUCAGAAAAAUUUGAAGAAUAGCUCAAACCUAUAUGAUUCGCAGACUACAUCCAAAUUUAAGAAGCAUAAGAUCCUUUCAUAGAAUUGUAUUCACUCAAGCGUUCUUUUCCAAAAAAAAAAAAAAAUCACGCGGUUGAUUUGACCGUGCAAUUGGCACUUACCCUGCGCCUAAGAAAAAGUCAUAUGUUCAUCAGGCCAUCAGGAAAAAAUUAGAGAGAGAAAAAGGAAAAAAGAAAAGAACAUAGAUAAGUCAGAGAGAGUCCAAGUCUUUAAGGAUUGAGUGCCUCAGAAUCAAAGUAUGCAACAUGAUAAUAAAAGGUAGUGAAGCUUUAAAUGCAUAAUGGAAACCUCACUCUGACGCAACAAAAUCAGAUAGUACACGCAGUGGCAGCAAUAGAAAGGAUAGGUUGGGUAGUAUCAAGUAAAAUACCCCAGAGAGCUGCACUCUUUACUAAAGGGGGAACUGGAAUAUCCUUUUCUGACUUCUUGAUGUUCCUGAAAGAUAAAAAGAAGCACGGUAUAGAUCUGGGGCCAUUUAAGAAUGUGCACUGCCAAAUUUUCUGGACAUCUCCACUCAAAUUUCAUCAGAAUGACAUAUAGUCCAUUAAUGCUUAUCCGAACAAGAAAAAUGUGAAAGAAUAGACUGAAUAAUUGUGCCACAGUGAGGUACGUAAUACUAUCUCGAGUUCCUCAUUUUGUGUGCUUAAUUGAAGGGAUUUAUGGGGCCAAUGUGAAGGUUAAUAUGAAUAAUGGCUCUCUCAAUACAGUGGAGAAAGCAAAACUUUAAUUCUUUCAAGUGUGCUGAAUAUGAUGAACUUACUUUUCUAAAAGGUUGAUUUAGGAAAAUAAUGGAUAAUUUGACCAAUUUGUUCCAUCAUCAAAAUUGCUGCUUUCAACUUAUUAUAUUAUUCAAAAUCCACUUUCUAAGAGCAAGUGAUUAAAAAAUUUAAUCUCUUGUUUAGUUUCACUUCCCAUUUUUCAGUGCAAAGAUUACUUUUUAAAAACUGCAUACACCAGUGAAAUGAUAAUUAGAGAUGUGAAUCAUAUUUUUUGUUAUUUCAUGCUUUCAGUCCAGAGCUUUACAGUGAGUUUAAGAAAAGAUAAUUACUUUAAUUCAAUACCCAAGAGAACAACAUACAAUAAGAAUUAUUCUCGUUCCAAAAGCCUAGAAACUAUUUCAUAGUCCAAUAGCAAGUAAUAGCACGAAGUUAUCUAAAAAGACAUACACCUUUUAGCAGUCAUAAUCAAAUUUGCUAUGCCUUGACCGAUAAGCCCACAGCCAAAUCCAACUGCACCAUAUAAUACACCCUGGAUCGAGCAUAAGUUAGGUUGUCAAUAAGAGAAAUAUUCAACAAGGAUCCGACAGAAAGUAGCACAAAAAAUCACAGAUGAACUGGGAAAGCAAGAUGUUAACAUUGGAACAAGAAUGCAUGCCAUUAAAAGAAAAAAGUGGAUCAGGGAAAGCUUUUAACUAAAUAAAAUGAGAUGAUAGGGGACAUAUGCUCCCUUCAAGACUUGAAGCCUGGUAACCAAAUAUAGUAAUUGUCACCCGGUGUAUUUACAAAAUGUAUUACCUUGUAAAAGUAUGUAGCGAUUCGUUGCCGGACUGAAAAUUUGCAUCCUGGCCUUUCAGCUUCAAAAACACUAGAACCAAAAUAUUCACAAUUAAACACCUAAAUAGUCAGUUGUAACAGCAAACAAGAUGCACGCAAUUCUGCUAGCCCAAUAAACACCAGAAGUAUAAGACUAAAAAGGGGCAUGGGAUUGAGGUAUUCACAGGACACUCAAGUAUUAACUAAUUAAUCUUAUAUUAGGCACAAACCCUGUCAAAAUUGGGAUAGUAGCAAUUAAAAUACAAUCAGCUGAUAGUUUGCAAUAUUUAAUGGUAUUCAGUACAACAUGGGGUAAUGCAUGCUUUAAAAGGAGAAAAAUCUUUAGUCCUAAUACUUGGAGUAACUCUGAAACUGAGUUAUAUCUCUAACAUGCAGACUAGUAAUUGAGGCUAUAAAUCCUAAUUGUGCAACAGAAGUAGCUGGAAUUAUUUAUAUAAGAGCAUCACCUAAUGAUCGGUUGAUUGCCUAAAUCAACAACCUUUGAGGUUUUGACCAACACAAGCAAAAUUUUUUCCUGUAUAAUUUGGCUGGUCAUGACAUAUGUUGGGUAAUCAAAGACACUCAGUUGCUAGUUUUACUUUACAGCUUUGCAAUCUUUAAAAUGCAUUCCAAUCUGGAAGAAUAGGAAGCAAUUUAUUCAAAUCUUAUACACCUGACUUGACUUUAAGGUUUCUAUACGUGAAUCUCUAACUUUCAAGUCACAACAGAUGUUUUCUUUUGAAAUGCAAUAUUUUAUCAUCAACUGCUUCCUACCACCAGAUUGCUGGUUUUCAACAGCCCCUUGAUCAGCUUCAAUGGCAAUAUCUAUGUUAUGAUAAAGUCAACCACACAAGGGGUCAUCACUAUACUGUUAAAAGAUGAAAGAGAACAAAUGACAGUAACAUUAAGAUCCUAUAAGCUAUUAUACCUGCUUGGGAGAGAAGCAGUGGCAAGUUGUAGUCGCCCUAAAAAGCCACUCGAAACAGAUCUCUUCCCAAUACGAGCAUAAGGUGCCAGCAUGCCAACCAGAGCAAUGUCAACUACCACCCCAACCAAAACAUCUGCAGCAUACAAUUCGAACUCGGCCCAAAAAUCCUUACCCCUCUUCUGAACUUCCGCAAAUGUUGCACAACAAGUAUCAAUGACCACCUAAAAUACAAGACAUCCAGUUACUUAUGACAGCCCAACAGAAAAUACAUUAACAAAAGUUGGAUAACUUGUUGAAACUAAACUGGAAAGUUCACCACAAAAGUCCAGUCUACAAGGUUGAAAGCUACAAACUCGAUUUCAACCUCAUCCAUGAAAUUAUUCUUUAGUUUGUGCAUUUUUCUGCCAUGCAACUUCACAGGUUCAAAGAAUACAGGAAAACAGACAUAAUGCAUCACUCUAAUGUCAAUGUUGUCACUUCAGGUUCCAUUUGGUAUUUGUGUCAAGCAUUUCAUGCAUCCACAAGAAAAGCAAGCCCUGACAAACUCCAAAAAACAGCCGAAACAGCUAAACGAGUAUCCCUAAACCAUUCCGUAUGGACCAAAAUGAGCAACUGUCCUUGAUUAACGAUUAGAAUAAAAACACACAUCCCACAGGCAUAACUGCCAUAGCUAAGCUCAAAGAAUAAUCCUUUUUGGCAAGCAAUACAUGUUCCCAUACAUAAUAAUUCAACAUUAUAACCCAGUUCAAAGUCUUAACUAACCUCUGUCCCAACUUUAAACAAAAACGCUGGAUCAGCAAGCAUUCGAUUCCUGAGCAUAGAGCAGUACCUCAUCAAGAAUCCCAACGGCCAAACUGACCCCUGCAUUAUGAAUUCAAUCCAGAAACACUCCAAUUAACAAUCCAUCGACCAACAGUAUCAAGAUGGCAAUAGCAACAAAUCCAUGACCAGGGGAAAAAAUUUAAACAUCAUAAGCAGGCAUUUCCACCUGUAAACCCAAAUAACGGCUAAGAAUCAAGCUCCGAAUCCCGGUGGUCUCGGCAGCUUCUAACAUAUCAGAAGGCAGAGUCGCCCCUCGUUUUUCAGCUUCUCUCAUCACUUCUUCAAACUUCAAAAGAGGCCCAAACUCUUUUUCAUCAAAAUCACCUUCUUCUUCUUCAUCUCCGCCCCGCCCCCGCCACCGCCACCGCCACCGCCAGACGGCAAUCGCCCAUUGCCGCCAUCUCCUCCACUUCCAUUAUCAAUUCUGGGUUCCUCUAUAACCUCCUUGAGAGCACUCGUUUUCGCAAUAUAAUCCGAUUCGCUACAUUUGAGCUGAAACACUUGGCAACUGUUACUCCUAUUAUUUUCCCUGAAACUACCAUCAUUUCUGAUUGAAAAGCUGGAAAAGGUCGAGUUUUUGGAAGAACCCAAAAGCCUGAACUGGAAGUCAACACUCUGGGCAGCGAAUUGGUUGCUUUCAUUUGGCGAAAUUGACAGGUUUUUCAAUGCCAAGCUCAAGCUCUGGAAGAAAUAGCCAUACUUGUCAAUGUAAAGCUAUUACCAAAAAUACAAAAGUUCUAUACCUGUUUCCUUUUUGGCUGUCAACACUUAAAUCAGUUAUCAAGAAAAAAUCCAGCACGAAAGCUUUGGGCCUUUUGGCCUUUUGGUGAAGUAUCAGGAAUCCGGUUCCGUAUAGGCUGCAACUCGUAAGAUCCCACAUAGUAGGGUUUAUGGCACGCUGUUGUUGGAGUGGCAGCUUUAUUUGUACGACUAUUUAUAUUUAGACACCUGGAAUUUUGUCAUUUUGUAAUUAUGCCCCAUAGAAUGUUACAAAGUUUCAGUAUACAGUCCCUGGCCGUUGGCCAACUACCAAAUGUCAAAUGGGCAAACAAAGCAUGAAAAGUGGGAAAUAUUGGCUCGAGUUUAUUUUAUUUUUUUAUGUAGAACAUAUUAUUUUUAUUUUUCCAUCAUGCAACAGGCAAUUCAAGAAAAAAGAGAUAUAAAUUCAAGGGCACUACUUUUCUUCCCUAAUUCUAUAACCUCACUCGUACUCUAUUAAUAAUCAUAGAAACAGCUUUAAUGAGCAAUUUAUGCCUGAUUGUUAUAGUAAUUGAGAUUGAUUUUUCAAACAAUUUUCAAUAAGUUACACGAGUAGAGUUAGCCUUUUUUACUUUGUUGAUAAACAUGCAUAAUAUGGGUAUUAUUAUACACCAUAUAUCUUGUACAAUUGAAACAGAAGCCCAAUUUUGCAAGUGAAUUUUUUUGGAUAUUUGUCUAAAAUUUUACCGUAACUUAUUGUAGAAGUUGUAGAAAAAAUUUUAAAAUGUGUAAAUUUUUGAAAAUUUUGAAGUGUAUAGCUUAAAAACUUUGAGAAAUUUUUUUAGAUUGCUGUAACUAAAAUUGUUAAAAAAACUUGUAGCAGACAAACUUGGCUAAAAACUUACUUGCCAAACAAUGCCUGAAAAUCGUUCCAAACCCCAUCCCUCCUUUUCCUUCUUCCCUGUUCUCAUAAAUGCUUCCUACUUCCAAACCUCUAACAAUACACACACAAUCUUUUCUUUACAAAGAAGAGGAGAACAAUAUAUAGAGUCUUGUUUUCAACUUAUUCUUGUUGUAUUACUCCAAUGUCAGAAUAUUAUAACUAUUAAUGUAAAUUAGCCUCCAUAAGCACAAGCAGCAACUGCAAUAUCAGGACACAUUUUGCAUUCAUCCUAAUUGUGUUCAUAGAGGGACAUGCUCAGAAGUCACAGCAUUGCAUCAGAACUUGUUUGAUCCCCGUCCUUGGCAUUGUCAGUUCCUAAUAUAAACAUCUCCAGAAGCAUUUUGCCUCUCCGAUUUUCACCUCAAAGCUUAGACAGCAAAACCAAGAUAAACAAGCAAGAAAAGCCUUUGAAUUUUCAUCUUUCUCGGUGCCUGAAGCAACUUUACCAGGUGAUUACUGAUAAAACUUACCGUGGUGCUAUACAUUAGCGAAAACAAAGAGCCAAAAGCAUACACAGCAACAUCGACUAAUUUGCUAGGCAUGCGAGUUGGAUGUAAACCAAGAAUUUACAUGGGUUAAGCAGCUUGACUAUUUACUUUUUUAUCUGAAAAUUUCAUGAGAUGAACAUGUCACUAGAUUGUUACUACAUUUCAGACAUAGCGAUCAAUUGACUUGGACAGAGUUUCUGUCCAAAUCAACCAAAAUUUCACCUGCUUACAAAAUCACAUCCUAUCAAAUGGAGCUGUACAUGUAUGAACCCAAAAGAAUCUGAAAACUAUAAAUGAUAUACCUCCUUUUUUCCCUCUCUAGAGUCGACUUAAUGUAUUUACUCGCCUAUACUAAUGUUGAGAACGGAAUGUCAGCCAAAAUUUUUGAGAACGAAUACUAAUUUGUCUUCAAAUUAUCCUUCCUUCCUUCCUUUUCCAAGAAAAUUGCAUUAUAUUUCACCAAAUCAGUACCUCCUUCAAGCCUUCAAAAGUCAAAGAACAUCUUGACAGCGAAUGACUUGGCACCUCAAUAUACACAUUAUAUCAUGAGAAACGAGCUCAGACCCAACCUUCCAGGGUUACUAUCAGGGUAUCUAAGAAGACUUGGUAAUGUCACGAUUUUUCAAAACAAAGAGAAACUUUUGCGGUGUCUUGACUGAAGGGAAAGUCUUCCAUGCUCACCUGAUGCCCUAGGAGUAGGCGCUGUACUUUCAACAACAUCUGUUUGAGCUUCUGAAGACUGGGGAAGCAGAUUGCAUCCCAUCCUCCUUGCAAUGAAACGAGGAGAACUGAUAGAGCUGUAUGACUUUGCCACCCUUUUCAUCUCUUGCUUUAUUUUAGUGAAUUCUUCUUCAAGCUCUCCAACUCUAGAUCUCAUCCUUUCCAUGUCUACUUUUAAUACCUGGUUCGCACGAGCAACUGUCAUCCACCCAUCUCUCUGGAGAAUCUGACCCGCCAUGUCACUCGGACAGUCAUUGGAACAGGAGGAGCAGUUUCAGCAUCCAAGACAUGGAGGCAGCCGGCAAGAGCUGCCCUCAGCUGCAACUGCUCAAAGAACAGCACUUGAAGAACAACUCUGAGUGGCAACCUUUCAUUUUGAGAUGCAUGAGCACAAGCAUCAAUGGACAGCUUCCGAAAGUCAAUAAUGUUGCAUAGCAGUUCCUUAUCUUUCUCAGGAAGCCAAGGGUGUUCCUGUCCACAUUAGGAUAAUAACAAGCUUAUUGGUCACCUUUGUAGGAGUAUAAAUAGCAGGUACACAGAAAACUGCGUGUAUCUGUGUUGAAGCAUGUUAUACGCAUGUGUAGCCAAGACGCACUGCAUAUAUCAAGUGAAGGCUAAAACAUAACACAAAAUCACAAGGGAACUGUUACAAACUAGACAUAUUCAAAAAUGUCCCCAAUUGGAGAUCACGAGUUUAAGAAAAAUAAAGAGUCUCUUUGCAAUGAAAUCAAACAAAAGCUGAAACAAUUAACUAAAAUAACAUUUUCUGGUCUUUUGAAGAAAAUUACAACUGCUUCAGAAAUAAGAACUGAAUUAUAAGGAAGCCUCUAGCAAUUUAAGAUGUGCUGUAACCAGAAAGCUGAAGAGGAAAUAAUGAUACGAACUAAGAAAAAUCAUUUUCUAGAGCCCAAUUUUCCAAGAACAAGAACAUGACUUGUUCACAUCAUUUGGGGAGAUUCUUUGACUAUAGACAGCACUUUAAUUCAGUUGACUGCAAAUACUUUGAACAUAAAAAUUACUUUAAUAUGAGAGAACCUGUCAGCCAAACUGUCGUCCAUCACACUUUCAUUUCCUUUUUCUUUUCCUAAGCAAAACUCAGCUUCAUCUGGAUCAUAAAGGUCCUAAAGGACUGAAUUAAGUUGAUUGCUGUGUAUCAAAUGCAAAAGGAUUUUGCAAGUAAUUUAUACACAAGUCAUGCAGUACCACAGAAAGUCAGAAACACAUCAUUAUGCAGAACUCCUAACAUAAAGGAGAAAAAGGAAACUGCUUUGGAGUUGCACGACAUUCCAUUAAUAAAACUAAGUUACCAGCAAUUAAUUCACAAAUUUUACGUGACACACAAGUUGAUAAGCAGCAGUGAACUUAUUGUUACCUUUAAGUAAAUAUCCAGCGCUCGGUACAAUCCAUCAUGCAAAGAUCUUGAAGAUUCUGGCAAGGCUUCUGCAAGCAAACGCAUUUUGUUGGGUUUCAGGUUCACAUCAGAAGCAACCUCAGCAAUGUAUCCAUCUACCAACUUUGCCACUCUCUUCAAUGGUCCUGAUGAUGGAGAUGUUUUAGAUCAAAAGAUGAUGGGGAUAGAGAAGUUAGCCUCGAUUCAGAAGACAUAAAAUGAUGAAUCAUUCGCUCUACACAAUCAGUAUUGUAUAAUGUAUCAGAGUCUGAGUAACAUGGUAUCAGUAGACCAUCUAGAGUAGCUUGAUCCAGUUGCACCCCUAUUCUUCUCUCUAAAGAGUCCUGACAUGUAUGAUUGACACCCAAUAUCAAUGCUACUCGUAGAAGCCCUAACAGAAAUCGGCAAAACAAUGUCCCCUUUUUUUCAGGGAGCAGCUUUGUAACACUUUCUAAAAGAACCUUUUGGUCAACAGCAGCUGGAGUCAUGCUGAAACUUGCAACAGUUCUGGGUUUACCACUCUGUCCACCCUGCCAUCUGCCCAAACCAGGAAGGUACUUUCUGCAGUAGUGCAUUAUAGCACCUGCUAAAUUUUCUGGUUUUAUACCUUUUCCUUCCAUUGUAUGAAUCAACCUCUCAAACAAAUGCACACUCAGAUAUGAAAUGUCUUCAUACCACCAGUCUGAUUCCAUGGUACUUUGGAUCUUUGCACCUGUAUUGAUUCCAUUCCAUAGAAUGCUACCCCCAGGGCUCUGUAAACUACCAUACAUCAACAUAGGCCAUCCAAAGAGACUAGGAUCUGUACAAACCAUCACGGAGACAGCAUUUAAACAUCUACUGACAAUUUGCAGCUUGUCUGCUCUUGAAAUUACUGGUUCACAACUUUGGAGAGCCAAAAGGCAAUCCUUCCAGUUCUUUAAACAUUAUUGUGGAAGAAACCUUCUGACUUUGACAAUAAGUUAUCUUCUCCAUGCUCGUCUGUCAUUUCAAGGUAGUCCGCAGCACAAUAUACCAUUACUAUGUUUCUUGCUGUAAAUUCCACCCGCCCACCAUAACAGAAUUUUAUUAUGACCAAAAAUGUCUCACUGCCACCAGGGAAGUCUUCAAAAGUUGUGAUGAAAUUCCCAUCAGUGGAUUCUUCAGAUUCUUCGAUUAUCUUGGAAAUCCUCCCACAUCUUGAUACCAGUGGAAACUGGAGACAAAGAAAAAUUAAUAUUAUCCUCAGGAUUAAGAAAACUACAAAAAAAAAAAAAAAGACAGAAAAUGAGGAUUAAAAGAGAAGAAAAAAGCAAUUCCAAGGAAAAAGUCAAAGAAAUCCCACACAACUCAAAUUAGUACUGACCCCUCCCCUCAGCCACAGAAGAGGAAAACAGUUGUGCAUUAAGCAAGAAGAAGGCAAAAUUUAAAUUUAAAAAAAAAUUAUUAAAAUUCUAAAACCACUUAAGAACCUAAUGAACAGAGGUGCUAAAACACAAAGAAAUGAGCUAUUGAAAAAAAAACAGUGUACUGAUUUAUAGAGAGAUCGCAGUCAUUUCAAACAAGACAACAUCCUUGGAGUCCUCACAAAUUGUUUUAGAGAAGAAACACUUUUGUUGCUAAAAGGCGGGACAUUGGAACUUCAUACAUGUAACAAACAAAAUGUCAGAGAGAGAUUCAUAGUAAUUGGAAAAUUGCAAAAUAAUCAACUGACGGUCACGUUCUAAAAGCAAUGGACAUGCAAAAGCAGACAUUUGUCAAUAUGCUUUGAUGUGAGAAGUUUAACACAGUACAAGAUCAUUGCCUUCGACCUACUCAGAUACAAAUGGCACUACAUCAGUAACCAACUCAAGAUGAACAACAGAAAAAGUACCACCAAAAGAACAACAAAAUACAAAAAUAGAUCUCAUAUAUUUCCAGAUGCACAAAGAAUAAGAAAUACCUUGUGAAGAUGGAAGUUAACACCAUCUACCACCACAGUUAUGUCACUUGGUAGAGUUGCAUUAUAGAACCUGUGAAGUUCAUUAUAAAUCAAAAUCGAUUUAAAGCUCAUGUACCAGGUAAGUAUGUGUAACGUAUCUAAAGUCAAAACAUUAACGUAUGUAAAGUCAAAACAUGUUCGGCAUCCUACUACAUGUCAGGGAAUGAAGAAUGACGAUUAAACUCAAGUUCCAACUUCAAUAAGAGAGAUAGCAAUUGUUUUUGCUCAUAAUCAUGCCUCCUUCACAUUCCUCACUCUGACACCAAUUCGUGUACAGGCAGUUCAAUAAAUUCAAAUCUUAUUCUGAACUAUAAACCAUAUUUGCGACAGGUAACUGAACUGAACAAGGACAGUCAGGAUAUUUACCCAAGGACAAUCAGGCUAUAAGAGCCACAACUGAAUUCCUAUUCCUUGAUCCCAAUCAUGCGUAAUAAUGGAGGCACUGCAAAUAUAACAAGUUCCACAAUUCACCACAAUCUAUAUCUACUAUAUUUGAAUGCCAAAGACUAAUUCUAUAGUGUUAAAGAACAUGAUGAUUAUUGACAGGAUCAAAGCAAAUAACUUGAACAAGUCCCGGAGCUGAUGCCUUCACAUAUGAUUUUUUAUCAAGAAUCUAACAUAAAUAAGCAACUAAGUAAUAGACAGAAGCAUACCAGUCAUUGCCUUCACGGCGGAAACCAGUAACUUUUGCUGCAGGAGCCAUAUCAAUGCCUCCCCUGAGGACUCAACAGACCUUCUCCUCUAUAAGAACAAUUAGUCAAUCAGUUCAGUCCAAUUUAACUCUCUUCCUCUGUUUUUCGCUCUCUUUUGAAUUGAAUAGAAGCAUCAGAGGACCAGAUAAGUCCUAUCACCAGAUUAAAUUAAAUAAACCCCAUCCUAAAGAAUAAAGUCAGGGCAGGCCACCAACCAUAGCAACCACAAGAACAGAGUCAAAAUGAGGCAAACCCAAAUCACCCCUCCAAAAUUAAGUAAAUUCUGAGCACAAAUCAAUCAAAGUAAUCAUUUUUACGUUCAGGGUCCUCUCUUUCCCUUUCUCGCACCACUUUACAGCUAAGCCACUGAGUCCCCAGUAAUUCUUGCACACAAAAAGACUAGCUCACUGCUCUUGAUAUCCCCUACAAGACACAAGACAGCAACAGCAUGGUCCAUACUCCACACGUUGCUUUAAUACACUCCCAAAAAAAACAUACAUAUAGAGAACCCACAAGCCAAGACACGCAACCGGCGGAGAAAAGCAUCGUUUUCACAAAUUUUCGAGCUUUAUCCCACGGCCCAUUGCUAUAACUUCGGGUUUGAGUGUUUGACCCCUUCAGAUAAUCUAAAUUUUGAGAGAAUUUAGGCCGGCAGAGGAUUUAAAGAGGGACAAGGGUACAUGACAAAUGAUAUGAGAGAGGAAGCGGAGAGGUGGGGGAAUAGUAGAAUAAUAAUAAGCGUGUGUGUAGUUGGGUCACGCUUUUUGUCGAACAGAUGGUCGGAAGGAAAAACAGGGAAAGCGUCCGAGGGAAUAUCGAGGUGAAUCCAACGAGCGGUGCGGGCUUGUGUCCUGUGGGUGGUGGAAUUACUAAUGAGAUUGUCUGAUAAUUGAUGCCUACGUGGUGGUGUUAUUAUUUCAUGGAUUUUUUCUGAUUGGGACAUUGUUGUGAUUGGUAUAAUUGUGGUCUUUUUUCCUUUUCUUUCUUUUCUUUUCUUUUCUUUUCGGGAGUGAUUGUGGCUUUGUUGGUGGCUAACCCCACGUGAAAUGGUGCUAAAUUAGUAAAUUGUGUGUUGGCAUGAGAAAUUCUUUGGGUUAGCUUUGCUUUCUUUUGAAGGCAGUGUAAAGCAAAAUUUUGUGACUAGAAGAUGCUCAAGUGCUUCGUUAUGUUCUAUCAUGUGCAAUUCGAUGAUAAAGAAUGAGUACUAUGAAGUCUAUCAUUAUAUUCAAUUCAUAUGUCUGUAGUUAGAUGGUAAAGAUUGAGAAUUCUGAUUAUGCUUUCUAGUUGGCAUUGUUUGGAUUAGGGUUUUCUGUAGAAAAGUUUCUAUAUUUUUGGUAAGCACAUUUUCAAUCUCGUUUUUAUCUCACAUACAUCAUCGUUACAAUUACCUUUCUACAAAAACUCCUAAAAAUAGCAAGCGAGACGGAUUUGAAUACUUCUACAAUUAGAAAAGUAAAUUAGUGUCAAUUGUCUUAAACAUAAGCAAAAAGUUACAGAUAUAAUGCUGAAUACUUACUUUUAUCAAAAGCCAUUUAGUGUGGGAUUUGUCUCGAUGGACAUUUGUCAGGAUAGAAUUCAAGUAUCAAUUCACCAAAAACUUGCAAAGAUAGAUUUCAAGUGUUAAUUUCUUGAUAAAAUAAAAUUACAUAAGAUAAGUAUUUAAAUGUAACAGGUCAAUAAAUGUGAAUGUAUAUGUAUGUUUUGUAUGUAUACUAUCUUAAAAACUUUUCAUUCAUUGCCAUUUCGUAGUUAUAGUUAACUAGUCAAAGACAAAAAUUACAAAAAAAGAUGAAAAGCAUGAGAGGGAGACUCGAACAGGUCACCUGAGUGAAUCAUGAAUAUGAAAUGAAGAGGCCACGAAGCAACAAUUAAUGGUGGAGAGUUGCAUUCCAAUCCAUUUUAGAAAAAGAUUAAACUUCUAUAUACUGAUUAUGUAAUGCAAUUCAUUUUAAAAAAGAUAUGUAUAAAUUAUGCAUAAAAAAAACUAUAUAUACAUUAGUGGGGUUGGGUACAUGCACAUAUACAAAACAUAAAUUUCAAAUUAAAAUUAAAACUAAUUGUCAUAUUUUUCAAGUUUGAUAAUAUAUACACUAUCGGAAUAUUAAAAAAAUAAUUAUUUAAUAAAAGUCACCAUACCUGCGCGAAAAUCUUUGGCAAAGCAAAAGGUGACACUUUCCUUUAGUGAGAAAAUAAUGUGAAGAAGAGGCUAAACUGCAAUUUGACGUUAUAAACCCUCAUACUGGAAAUACAUCUUGAUCAUAGAUUGUUGCCGUGAAUUUCUAUUCAAAACAAAUUUUUUUUUUUUCAUGUACUCGUAUAGUAUUUACAAGAGAUUGUGAAUUUAUUAAACUCAAUUGGAUUUUGCCAUGUCCAACGGCUUAUCAAACUAUAAAACUAGGAUUAUAUAUGACUCGUAUAGGGAAACAACCAAAGCGCCUGUGGCCUAAUGGAUAAGGCGUCUGACUUCUAAUCAGACGAUUGUGGGUUCGAGUCCCACCAGGCGUGUCUUUGUAUUUUUCGGGACUUUCAUGGAUGCGUUAUCCAAAACCGGACGAAGAUGUUUCAGGGCCUUUCGUGAUAAAGUUGGUGGCAUAGAUCUGUUUUUAUUUUUUGUGUUUUGUAAUUUUACAGAUUCUGUCCAACAGAAAUAUUCGAUCGUGAAUGAGGCGAAAUGUUUAUGUGCUAACCCAGAGAUACAGCAUAUAUCUGACUAGUGGUAAUCAAAUUGGCAAAGCAUGAUUUAACAUAUGACAAGGAAAAUUAGUAGCCGUCUGACUUUAAAUCAAGAGAUACAUGCUUUAUUUAGAUCUAUGUGUGCGUGUGUGUGUGUAUAUAUAUAUAUAUAGAGAGAGAGAGAGAGAGUUGCUUCCUAACACCUUCUUACUUAGGAGUACAUUGCAGUAGCAUGGAUGGUUUUGGAUCAAAUUAAAAGCUCAGACCAAAAUCCAUGGCAAGCAUUUUACAUCUUUAUGAAACUUAAAAAAUCGAUGGUGCCAACACUAAGUAGGUAGCAAUAGUUUGUCUAACGAACGAUUGGUAGUGUAGCACAGAAAUAGGCAAAACAAAAGGCCAAGUACUAACUAAUUCCAAUCGCCUUGAACCAUCACAUGCUUUUCAGUAGACUAGGUUUGAAGAACGGUGAAGCAUCUUUUAAUGCACAAAGCUUCUACCAAGGUCUUCUUAAGCCUUUAAUCAAGUCAGGGCAAAUAGCCUACAUUAUUUGUUGGCAAUUCUUUAAGAGCAUUUGCAAACGCGAUGGUUAUUACACUUAACAUAAGCCUUGAGAGGUCACGAGCUGAUAACAAAGACCCCAGCUAAAACCCAAACCUCAGCACUCAUUCACCAGGGUGUAAUGGACCGUUUACUGCCGGUAUGUCAUUUUAAUGCUGAGAAGCAUCUUCAAUACCUUGACAAGUAAAACUGAUCGCAAGCCUCUUCGUAAAUGAGAAAAGGGCCAAUAGUCACGAAAAGAAUAAUAUAUUAGGGAAAUGAAGCCUGAGGAGGCAGAACAAAAUGAUACAACAUGAUCCCGUAUAGUUGUGGUAUGCAUUAAGCAGCAGAAGAGUGACCACAAAUUACAAACAGUACAUCUAUCCUUCUACAGUUCUCCAAAGUGUCUUAGAUAAAGCAUCACAAGUCUUCCUACUAAAAUGCCGCCCUUAAGACCAACAUUGAGUUUCAUGUUCCUUGUAACUGCACGCUAUGGACUAGGAACACUUUGAAAGUGAA
rnacentral:lncRNA from 1 species